rnacentral:lncRNA from 1 species
CGGCUCCCGCGGCCGCCGCGCCCGGCGCCCGCGGGGAGGUGGUGGCCCCGAGCCUGGGCGCACCCUGGCCGGCCGGGCACUGUCGCCGGGUCCCGGGUCUCCGAUGUCUCUGCCACACUUCCCGCCAGAGCCUCCCGGCGGCUGGACAGAGCCUUCGACCGCCCCCGGCCCAGUGCAGGGAGGGGUGGGCCCCGCGGGGGCGGAGGCGGCAAGCCCAGCUGCGGCUGCUCACCUGCGCUUCUGCCCGCGAGGCCCAGGUCAGCGCAUCCCCACCCCGCGGGAACACCCCGGGGCCUCUGUGGGUCCCCAGGAGUUCUCCAGUCCCCCCAGUGGAAAGCGGCCAGGGCUUCCGGGCUGCUGUGGUGGAUCUAAAUGAGGACGUCGUUAGAUCGUCCAGUGGCUAGUGGUUUUGUAACAGACAAGGAGUGCGCGCCUCCAAAUUAGGGGGAGGAGGAGGACUCUAAGGACUUCUUUUUGCAGGGGGGC